rnacentral:rRNA from 1 species
CAGUCGCCGCGGGAAUACGGAGGGGGCUAGCGUUGUUCGGAAUUACUGGGCGUAAAGCGCACGUAGGCGGCUUGGUAAGUUAGAGGUGAAAGCCCGGAGCUCAACUCCGGAAUUGCCUUUAAGACUGCCGAGCUAGUAGGUGAGAGAGGUAAGUGGAAUUCCGAGUGUAGAGGUGAAAUUCGUAGAUAUUCGGAAGAACACCAGUGGCGAAGGCGGCUUACUGGCUCAUUCUAGACGCUGAGGUGCGAAAGCGUGGAGAGCAAACAGGAUUAGAUACCCCUGUAGUCCCUGUCUCUUAUAA